rnacentral:rRNA from 1 species
GACGAACGCUGGCGGCGUGCCUAAUACAUGCAAGUAGAACGCUGAAGGAGGAGCUUGCUUCUCUGGAUGAGUUGCGAACGGGUGAGUAACGCGUAGGUAACCUGCCUGGUAGCGGGGGAUAACUAUUGGAAACGAUAGCUAAUACCGCAUAAUAGCAGUUGUUGCAUGAUAACUGUUUGAAAGGUGCAAUUGCACCACUACCAGAUGGACCUGCGUUGUAUUAGCUAGUUGGUGGGGUAACGGCUCACCAAGGCGACGAUACAUAGCCGACCUGGGAGGGGGAUCGGCCACACUGGGACUGAGACACGGCCCAGACUCCUACGGGAGGCAGCAGUAGGGAAUCUUCGGCAAUGGACGGAAGUCUGACCGAGCAACGCCGCGUGAGUGAAGAAGGUUUUCGGAUCGUAAAGCUCUGUUGUAAGAGAAGAACGAGUGUGAGAGUGGAGAGUUCACACUGUGACGGUAUCUUACCAGAAAGGGACGGCUAACUACGUG